CCUACGGGCGGCAGCAGUGGGGAAUAUUGCACAAUGGGCGCAAGCCUGAUGCAGCCAUGCCGCGUGUGUGAAGAAGGCCUUCGGGUUGUAAAGCACUUUCAGCGGGGAGGAAGGCGUUAAGGUUAAUAACCUUGUCGAUUGACGUUACCCGCAGAAGAAGCACCGGCUAACUCCGUGCCAGCAGCCGCGGUAAUACGGAGGGUGCAAGCGUUAAUCGGAAUUACUGGGCGUAAAGCGCACGCAGGCGGUCUGUCAAGUCGGAUGUGAAAUCCCCGGGCUCAACCUGGGAAUUGCAUUCGAAACUGGCAGGCUAGAGUCUUGUAGAGGGGGGUAGAAUUCCAGGUGUAGCGGUGAAAUGCGUAGAGAUCUGGAGGAAUACCGGUGGCGAAGGCGGCCCCCUGGACAAAGACUGACGCUCAGGUGCGAAAGCGUGGGGAGCAAACAGGAUUAGAUACCCCUGUAGUC
rnacentral:rRNA from 1 species